GGUUGCGGCCAUGGUCGCUGUCGCUGCAGAAACGCGGGGCGGCCUCUCCCCAUCCCCGUGUAGUUCUCCGGGCUGAACCGUUGGGCGCCUAUUUGCAGAAAAGGCAGCUCCUGAGCCUCAAGACAGACUCGGGGGCCAGGCGUGCGUGAAGCCCUGCUGCCGGCCUCGCAUGCCAAGCCAACUCCGAGCCCCACACCCGCCCGCGGGGAGCUGCCCUCGCCCAGGACCCUCUUGGCCCGCGCGGCCGCGGCCUCUUCUCCACGAUCCCGGCCCCCUGCCCCCUGCCCGGCUGGUUUUAUCGGGGAUCAUAAGGACAGUCACCACCUAACUAGGAGCAAAUCCCCAACAAUCGAGGAAACAGGGCGCUCCUGCCUUGCGCCCCCAGGCUGGCGUUGGGAGUUCUUUAGAGCCAGCGCUGCGGAGCCCCAGCACCCGGAACGUAGAGGUGAGUAAAAGGCACAGCAGGAAGCCUGGGAGAGAAAAAGCAGCUGCCCCUGCUCAGCCGCGCCCUACCCUGAGCCCAGCAGCCUUUGGGAUCAUCUGUCUUCUCUGCCCUGGAGGUUGGAGUAAGCUCCGGACCUCCUUGACCCUCACUGGAGCACUGGGGUCCCAGACGCUAUCCUCGGUUAUCUUAAAUCCAGAGGCUGUGGAGGCAUGGGGCAAAUUGUGCCCGCAGCCUGGGGCCUAGAGCUGCAUCUGUGCACCGGGCCUCCAGGAGCCCGGCUCAGUGGACGAAAUCUGGCAUGCUCGGACGUCACCCCACAGGCCUCACGCCUCAGAGGGACCCCGAAAGGUGAGUUGAUGACUGCAGAGUGAGUUUGUACCUUUUCGAACACCACCUGCCGGGGGUCCGAGCCCCCACCCCCAGUCUACAUCAGCCAAUCACAGCUCAUUGCAGGUGCUGCGCUUGUCACAUAGCUUUCUGCAAAC
rnacentral:lncRNA from 1 species